rnacentral:rRNA from 1 species
CGAAGGUAUUGAAUAAGGCUUUAAAUGGGUGCUAAGAGAAUGGUUUAACAAGGAGAGACUUUCUUUUUUUUUAUAUUAGAAGUUAAUUUGAAAAUGAAAAAGUUUUUAUAAAUUUUUGGGACAAGAAGACCCUAUGAAUUUUUUUAAAAUAAUUUAUAUUUUAAUUAAGAUUAUUAGAAAUUUAUUUUUUAGUUAUGAUCGGGGUGAUUUUUAAAGAUUAUUAACCUUUAAAAUUUUUUAAUAAAAAAGUUCCAUUAGUAGUGAUUUUUUGAUAAAAAUACUCUAGGGAUAACAGCGUUAUUAUUUUGGAUAGUUCAUAUAGAUAAAAUAGUUUGCGACCUCGAUGUUGGAUUAGGAUUCUUUUAUGAUUAAGAAGUUAUAAGGGAGAAGUUUGCUCAACUUUUAAAGUCCUACUUGAUCUGAGUUCACCCCGGG